rnacentral:sRNA from 2 species
CUGUCAAUCUAUCUACCACUGCUAAUCUAUACCACUGCUAAUCUAUCUAUUGCUGCUAAUCUAUUGCUGCUGCUAAUCUAUCUACUGCUGUCAAUCUAUCUAUUGCUGCCAAUCUAUCUACCACUGCUAAUCUAUUGCUGCUAAUCUAUUGCUGCUAAUCUAUCGCUGCUAAUCUAUUGCUGCUAAUCUAUCGCUGUCAAUCUAUCUACUGCUGCCAAUCUAUCUACCACUGCCAAUCUAUCUACCGCUGCCAAUCUAUCUACUACUGCUAAUCUAUCACUGCUAAUCUAUCACUGCUAAUCUAUUGCUGCUAAUCUAUCUAUCACUGCUAAUCUAUUGCUGCCAAUCUACCUACCGCUGUCAAUCUAUCUACCGCUGCCAAUCUAUCUACUGCUGCCAACCUACCUACCACUGCUAAUCUAUCACUGCUAAUCUAUCACUGCCAAUCUAUAUAGAGUAAAUCAUGGUCCCAUUUGGUCCCAUUUUGUAAAAUGGAAUCAAAUGAGACUGAAAUCACUAAUUUAUUAGUAAAACAUGAUCUAAGAC